rnacentral:rRNA from 1 species
UACGUAGGGUGCGAGCGUUGUCCGGAAUUAUUGGGCGUAAAGAGCUCGUAGGCGGUGUGUCACGUCGGCCGUGAAAACCUGCAGCUUAACUGUGGGCGUGCGGUCGAUACGGGCAUCACUGGAGUUCGGCAGGGGAGACUGGAAUUCCUGGUGUAGCGGUGAAAUGCGCAGAUAUCAGGAGGAACACCGGUGGCGAAGGCGGGUCUCUGGGCCGAUACUGACGCUGGAGGAAGCGAAAGCCGUGGGGAGCAAACAGG